rnacentral:rRNA from 1 species
UACAGAGGGGGCAAGCGUUGUUCGGAAUUACUGGGCGUAAAGGGCGCGUAGGCGGCCUUCUAAGUCGAACGUGAAAUCCCCGGGCUCAACCCGGGAACUGCGUCCGAUACUGGAAGGCUUAAAUCCGGGAGAGGGAUGUGGAAUUCCAGGUGUAGCGGUGAAAUGCGUAGAUAUCUGGAGGAACACCGGUGGCGAAGGCGACAUCCUGGACCGGUAUUGACGCUGAGGCGCGAAAGCCAGGGGAGCAAACGGG